AAGUCGUAACAAGGUAACCGUAGGUGAACCUGCGGUUGGAUCAUUAAAAAAAAUCCAAUCGGUUGAUAGUCGUAAGACUUGAUCCCGGAUUAACACCAAUGUGCACUCUUGUCUUUGACGUUUUUUGAUGGAAACAUUUUUAAACGUCAAAGUAACAAACUAUUAUUUUUAACUGAAUUUUUAUAACAAGCUUUUUUUGCUUGUAAUUUAAAAUGAAAAACAACUUUUGACAACGGAUCUCUUGGCUCUC
rnacentral:misc_RNA from 1 species